UACACUUACAAAACCAAAAAGACAAGAACAUCAUUACAACAAACUAUACCCUAAUUUUCUCUCCAAUUUCUCUCACAGUAUUCGGCAAAUUUCUUCUAAAACAAUAAAUAAAUUAUCUCAAAUUGCCGCUCAAGAUGAGAUUGCUGAAAAAAGCUUAAGAAAAUGGAAAAAUUGCCGCUUAAAUUUCUCUCAAUUUCUUUAGAAGUUUGUAUGCUGUCAUUCGGCACCUUAAGAAGCUUAAAGAGAGGUUCAAAUUAUUGAAAUUUCUGAGAAAAUAUUAGGGGUUUGAGAAAAUCUGAGAAAAUUUGAAUUUUGGGGGUUUCUUUGAAUCUAUCAUGUCUGAAAAAUUCUAGGGUUUGUGUUCAAUCGGUGAUAUUUUAAGUGAUGAAACAACUUUAAAGGCAUUGUGAGUUUGUUCAGUCUCUGCCUAAGGAAGAAAUCGAAGUGGAGGAAAUCUAUAGCAGGAUAUUUUUAUUGUAUGGUUUUUCAAUACUCUGAUUUGAACAAAGCUAGUGGACAAGGGAGUAGUAACUUCACUAUCGAUAGAUUUGCGGCGCACAUAAGUUGAAAUGGAGAAAAUACAAACUCAAGAAAUAGAAGAUGGUACUGAGCCAGUUGAUGUAUUUGCAUCAAUCAUGGGACCUGAGCAUCCAAAUUUUGUAAGAUUAUAUGGGUGUGGAGUUACCAAGACAUCGUUGAAAGAAAAUGUGGAAAAUCCUGCAUCCUCUAAUGAUGAGCUGCUGCAACAAAAAAUGAAAGAAAUAGAAAAGAGGAUGAAAUAAAGAAUGAUAGAAAAAUUCAUGGAAGAAAAGGGUACAAUGCAACAAUAAAUUGAAAUUAACAUCAUAGAAAGACUUUAACACAUUAACCCUGAUCUACAACUUGACCCUGACCUGCUUGCAUUUUGUGCUCGUUCUUGAUCAUUAGAACAAACUGAAGAUUAGUAUUUAUUCUACUUUUUUGCCUUGUUUUCUUCUUCAUAAUAUUGAAGACUACAAGUUUCUAUCUCUUUUGUAAUCUUGUUAACAUUAUGUUGUUGAAUCUAAAGUCUAGUGAAGCCGUGUGGGGC